UUUACCAUGCAGUCGACGGCAGCGCGAGAAGCUUGCUUUCUUGGCGGCGAGUGGCGCAACGGGUGAGUAAUGUAUCGGAACGUACCCAGUAGCGGGGGAUAACUACGCGAAAGCGUGGCUAAUACCGCAUACGCCCUACGGGGGAAAGGGGGGGAUCGCAAGACCUCUCACUAUUGGAGCGGCCGAUAUCGGAUUAGCUGGUUGGUGGGGUAAAGGCCUACCAAGGCGACGAUCCGUAGCUGGUUUGAGAGGACGACCAGCCACACUGGGACUGAGACACGGCCCAGACUCCUACGGGAGGCAGCAGUGGGGAAUUUUGGACAAUGGGGGAAACCCUGAUCCAGCCAUCCCGCGUGUGCGAUGAAGGCCUUCGGGUUGUAAAGCACUUUUGGCAGGGAAGAAACGGCCCCGGGAUAAUACCCCUGGGGUUAAUGACGGGUACCCUGCAGAAUAAG
rnacentral:rRNA from 1 species